CUGCAUCUGAAGGUGAUUUAACACAGGAAAACUUGCAGGCCUUGUGAGGAGUAACUCAAGAUGGAGGAUGUGGAUUACUCCGAUGUCUGAGAAUUGAGCCUUGGAGGGGCUGAGGGACUCGCCAUGCAGGAAGAGGGUGUCUGGGUAGUGAGUGAGCCUGGCCAGGCAAUCUCAGGGCUCCCCAGGCCACAUCUCACAAUAGGUAUUGGGUACACACUACUUCCACCCUGAAUCCUCACUGGCAGCCUCCCUGGUCCCCAACAAACAGAUGUAGUCAUGGCAUCUGCAUUCAUUGUUCAAGAGGUAAAAGAUAGUUUGUGUUGCAUUAUCAUUAUUAUUAAUAUUAUUAUUAUUGAGUCAGGUCUCGCUCUGUCACCCACGGAGGAGUGCAGUGGCAUGAUCAUGGCUCACUGCAACCUCGAACUUCUGGGCUCAAGCAAUCCUUCCGCCUCAACUCCUGAGUAGCUGGGACUGCAGGAGCUGUAGUCCCAUGGUGGCAGGGACUAUAGCACCUGCCACCAUGCCUGGCUAAGUUUUUCUAUCUUUUGUAGAGAUGGGGGGGGGAUCUCACUAUAUUGGCCAGUUUGGUCUUGAACUCUGGCCUUAAGCAAUCCUCCUGCCUCUGCCUCCCAAAAUGCUGGGAUUACAGGUGUGAGCCACGGCACCUGACCCACAUUCAUCUCCUUAAAUAACAACCUUGGACCCUCUACCACUGCCUCUAUUCUUUCCAGAAAUCUCUCUCCAUAGUGGAUCACAGACUAACACUUAUUAUGACCUGUUUAGAGAGAAUGAAAAAACUACCAGGCAAGUUACAGGUACAUAGCUUAGUUAUAACAUAUGACUUCAUCUGGCUUAUCACCCAUGUCUGCCUUCUCAGUUUCAACCUGGUUCACUCCAGGCGAAUAAGGUGAUCAUUUUGCCCACUUUGAUUCUAGAGAGAAACAAAAUUCCUUCCGGGGAGGUUUACUCCCUGAGCCAGCCCACUGGCAGAAGGGAUCCUGCCAUUGUUCAGCUGAUACCCCAUCCUGGCACUUCCCGAAUGCUUAUCCUUUCUCUGGCAAGUUAACUCUAGGCAGCAGCAUCUCCAAGUCCCACCUUCAUCUGAAGAGAUCAGAUCACUUUUCUUCGAUUGAAAUAGGCAUGCAAUUCUGACAAACAUAAGACUUGGGAGAGGGGUCAGUUUCUACAAAGCCAUGUUGAGUGUCUGUAUUAGUUGUAUUGGGAGAGCUUUUGCCCAUGAGGUAUUUCUUUUUGUUUUGAGUUUUCAUCCUGUUUAUUUUAGGAAAAUAAAGAUUGACUAGCCAGGUGCACCUCUCAUCCUAAAGAAACACAUUUGUCCAUUAUGUUUCAAAAGAGAGGUGAAAUCUUCCUAGUUACUUGGAAGUCCUCUAUUGGAGCCAAGGGCAGCAGGUCCAAAGUGGGAAACUAGACCUAGGGCCAUCUACUGAAAAUCUCAAUCAGGUAGGAAAUCUCAGGCUGUGAUGGGAAUGUGGAUGGUCAUUCUUCCAAAGUCCCAUUUCCAUUUUUCCCCUGUGUCUCUCUUUUAGAUGAACAGACUUAAUCAAAGAUUGAGAGAGAUGUGCUGGGAUUAGAUGCAGUUCGAGAUGCAGCUGAAGAGUCUCAUGCUUCAUCUUUUCACUCCCAAUAUAAAAAUCAAGGGAAAUCCCAUGGCGUGGGAAGAGAUUCAUUUGUCCCUUAAAUAAACAAAACACAAAGCACUCAGGAAUGUGAAGAAAAGAGCUCUGAGGAGAUACAGUCAUGAGGGGCUGCACGUGUAGCACCCAAAACAUUCCUCUGGCUGGGUGCGGUGGCUCAUGCCUGUAAUCCCAGCACUUUGAGAGGCCAAGGUGGGUGGAUCACAAGGUCAGGAGUUCAAGACCGGACUGACCAAUAUGGUGAAACCCCAUCUCUACUAAAAAUACAAAAUUAGCCGGGCGUGAUGGCGCUUGCCUGUAAGCCCAUCUACUUGGGAGGCUGAGGAGGAGAAUCGCUUGAACCCAGGAGGUGGAGUUUGCAGUGAGCCAAGAUCAUGCCAUUGCACUCCAG
rnacentral:lncRNA from 1 species